GCUGCGGUGGCCGAGUGGUUCAAGGCGGCAGAUUUAAGCCCUUGUGGGAGAAUCUCUGCUGGAGAGAUCCGCGCGAGUUCGAACCUCGUCCGCAGCA